rnacentral:rRNA from 1 species
CACUCCUACGGGAGGCAGCAGUGGGGAAUUUUGGACAAUGGGCGAAAGCCUGAUCCAGCAAUGCCGCGUGCAGGAUGAAGGCCUUCGGGUUGUAAACUGCUUUUGUACGGAACGAAAAAGCUCCGUCUAAUACAGGGGGCCCAUGACGGUACCGUAAGAAUAAGCACCGGCUAACUACGUGCCAGCAGCCGCGGUAAUACGUAGGGUGCGAGCGUUAAUCGGAAUUACUGGGCGUAAAGCGUGCGCAGGCGGUUAUGUAAGACAGAUGUGAAAUCCCCGGGCUCAACCUGGGAACUGCAUUUGUGACUGCAUGGCUAGAGUACGGUAGAGGGGGAUGGAAUUCCGCGUGUAGCAGUGAAAUGCGUAGAUAUGCGGAGGAACACCGAUGGCGAAGGCAAUCCCCUGGACCUGUACUGACGCUCAUGCACGAAAGCGUGGGGAGCAAACAGGAUUAGAUACCCCUGUAGUCCCA